AUCUAACUGACAAGUUCAAAAUAGGACUAAACACGUGUCAAACUGGAU
rfam:Schistosoma curassoni strain Dakar, Senegal genome assembly, scaffold: SCTD_scaffold0004515